GACGAACGCUGGCGGCGUGCUUAACACAUGCAAGUCGAACGGGUCUGCCCUGUUUUUUGCGGGGUGGGUCAGUGGCGAACGGGUGAGUAACACGUGAGUAACCUGCCCCUCACUUCUGGAUAACCGCUUGAAAGGGUGGCUAAUACGGGGUGUUCUGGCUGUGCCGCAUGGUGUGGCUGGGAAAGAUUCACUUUUGUGGUGUUUUGGUGGGGGAUGGGCUCGCGGCCUAUCAGCUUGUUGGUGGGGUGAUGGCCUGCCAAGGCUUUGACGGGUAGCCGGCCUGAGAGGGUGGGCGGUCACACUGGGACUGAGAUACGGCCCAGACUCCUGCGGGAGGCAGCAGUGGGGGGUAUUGCACAAUGGGCGGAAGCCUGAUGCAGCGACGUCGCGUGAGGGAUGGAGGCCUUCGGGUUGUGAACCUCUUUCGCCGGUGAAGAAGGUCCUGCUCUUCGUGGUGGGGUUGACGGUAGCCGGGUUAUGAAGCGCCGGCUAACUACGUG
rnacentral:rRNA from 1 species